AUCAUACAUAUAUUAUACAAAGAUGCCCGGGAUCUGUAAUGAUUAGGACAUCUCUUGAUCCAUGAAGCAAGUUUCAUAAACUCCCUUUUGGAAGCGUGUCCAAAGAUGAACCUGGCCACAUGUCAGCUGACAUUAGCUGGACUUUGACCUCUCCUCUCUGUUCAGCAUUUAUCGAAUCACAACAGUUGUUUUUAUAGACCAUCCCUUUAGUAAUGGGUGCAUCAGCCGAUUUUAAAAAGUUGUUUCAUCCUUCAUAGGAAGAGCUACUACUUCACAAUUGCAUGAGAAGAGAUCAAUUUAUAUGUAUGGCUCAUACACAUCUCAAAAGGAGAAAUCAAGAGGGACUUAGGUAUGACCUACCACUACUAUGAAGCCUUUACUGAAUUCGCUGGUUCCUGAGGUUUCUUCUCAAGCUUCUGUAGAAGCUAUCCUCUGCACCACAACAUCAGAUCCUGAAUCAUGUGCUAUCAAUACUACUGGAUUUUCUGUUUUUCUGUGCCUGCUUUUCUUUCCUGUGUAGGUGGACAGAAAUGCACAUGGGUUGCAGUAUCUAGGGAAAUGCCAACUGAGGGUUCUUCAGGCCUAUUACAGACUAACAUAACUUUGAAGAGCAUAGUGAAUUCCAAUAUCUAAUCUUCAUCUUUGCAAGACCAAGAAUUCACUCUUGUCUGAGUCCUAGAAAUGAUUAUUGAUUCGAACAUUAAUUAUAUUUUCCUAACGUUUGAGUCGUCUCAAUGUUAAGUGGAGACAAUCUGGACAAAACAGAAGCUUUCUGCUCCACCUACUUGUAAGGCAAUGAGGGCAAUCACUCAACAGAAUUCCUCCUAAGAGGAACCCUGAGAGUGUUUGGAAGAAAUAAAUACUAUGCAGAAUGGAUGGUGACCAUCAAGAAAAAACUUCAGCGGAAAAAGAUGGCUCCCAGAUUUCUUUCUCAAGGAAACCAGAGCUCCAGGAGAAUGUUUUGUUUGACUGAGUACUUUGCUGGGCCAGAAGAUGAAAAAUUGGGACCAGGCAUGGUGGCUCACUCCUGUAAUCCCAGCACUUUGGGAGGCUGAGGCAGGCGGAUCAUGAGGUCAGGAGAUCGAGACCAUCCUGGCUAACACGGUAAAACCGUGUUUCUACUAAAAAUACAAAAAAUUAGCCAGGCGUGGUGGCGGCGGGCACCUAUAGUCCCAGCUACUCAGGAGGCUGAGGCAGGAGAAUGGCGUGAACCUGGGAGGCAGAGCUUGCAGUGAGCAGAGAUCGCACCACUGCACUCCAGCCUGGGCGACAGAGUGAGACUACAUCUCAAAAAAUAAUAAUAAUAAAAUAAAAUUGGAAGUCAGAGUCAAGGUAGAGCUAAACUGUAUUAGGCCGUUACAGUGCACAACUCCAGGUGCCGUCACUGGCAUUAAAGCCAGGAAGCAAUUGUGGAAAAGGGGAAUGUCUAAUGGUACCUAUCUCUAUGAGGUAAUAUAAGAUCUCUAUUUUUCUGGCAUACGCUUUCAGUAAUUUUAUCAUGUUUGAUAAUUCUUUUGUGACACUGGAUUGAUUUUGGGUGAUAGAAUGUUAAAAAAGGGCUGAGUUAUGAAUCUGAGUUACCACAGGUGAACGCAGGUACUUUUCCUGCAGCUUACCAGCUGAAAGAAAAGAGAAUAUUUGGGUUUCAUAUGAUUAUGGGAUACUGAUGUCUAAUUUGGGGGGGUUGUUAAGAUACUUAAACAAAAAGAAAUUAUAAACUGUAUGGAAAUUGUAGAAGCUCGACGUGUGUUUACUAUCUUCUUACAGGAAAGCCGAGUGAUACGGACUACUCAUAAGAAACUAAACAAGAUCAUCAAGUUGGUAACAAUGAGGGGUGUGUGUGUGUGUGUGUGUGUGUGUGUGUGUGUGUGUGUGUGUUGGGAAUUGCAUGAAGAGAGCAUGGCAGUUUUGGGGGAAUCUCACAAACAAAGAAGGAGAGCUCAGCAGUAAUUCAGAUGGUCAAGGCUCUAAGCCUGAUGACCUCUGUAUUAUUCCUACAAUAGGUCUAGGCCUGUCACAGGAGAGAGGGCCAUAGAGCACGUCUAGCCUCUCCUUUCCCCCAUACCUUGCUAGGACACUUGUAAAUCUGUUUCUCUUAUCAUCUGCUCCUCUCUUUUGAUAGCCACACUUUUCUUCAAAUAUAUUAAUGCAAGCGGCAUUGCUCUAGCUAAAUCUUGCUGUUGCCAAGAAGUCAUUUAUCUCUUUUAGAUGAUUUUACGUAUUUAUCACUUGUUUUAUUUUUUUAUUUUAUUUUAUUUUAUUUUAUUUUAUUUUAUGGUUUUUAAUCUCAGAGCUGCCUCUUCUUAUUGUUGUUGCUCUGAGUUCUGGAGUCAAGAGACCAGCAACUUAUUAAAACCCCAGUUCUGGACAACAUAGCCAACACAAAGUGUAAAUCUACUAGAAAAAAUAUCUUGCUUUUCUCAUUGUUUGUAUUCCUAUAAUUUCAGUCACAAAACAAGGGACAAAAUAGAAGCUAAAUAAACACUUGAAUAUUUCCUGGGGUCCUUUUGAUGAAAGAAUCUAUAUGAACACUUCAUGCAUUUUUUUUUUAAUGACAAAAGCUUUUGCCCUGUUCUUAAAGUCUAUUAUUGUUGCAUGCCUCUUCUUGGGUUCCAGUGAAUUAAAAUUUGUAGCAACUUAAUCUGUCUCUCUCUAAACACAUUUGUAAUGCUUUGUUUUCUUUAUUCAGUUGUGCUUUGUGUGUCAUAUAUCAUUACACUAUGUUGCAUUUCUUACAGAGAAAAUCUACUGAAAGUGUCUUUUUUUUUAGAAAAGAAAAAUUCUUUAUUACUAUGGCCUAUAGCAAUUAAAGCUUGAAAUUAGAAUUAAGUAUUGUGCAUUGCGAUGCAGACGACCAUAUAGAUAUAUUAACAUUUUGGCAAGGUUUUUCUUUGCAGGCACAAAGUUGUCAUUAGGAAAUAUAAUACUCAUUUUUUGCUUGAUUAAUCAUAGCAAAAGCAUAACAAAGUAUAUACUGUGUGUUAGAGCAUGCAACAUUUUGUAAAAUUAUGAAUCAUGGGCAAGCUGGGGUAUGAAUCCACAACAUUCUGUAAGAAACUCAGAGUAAGUAUGAAAUUUGUUCUUUGAAGUUCUUUGACUAAAGAGAAUUUAUGCACUCCAAACAUAAAGAAACACAUCUCGAAAACACAACUCACAAUCUAAAAUAAUUUGAGUUCUCUUCCCAGCUUUCCAAAUCUACUAUGGAUUUACUUAUAUGUAACCUUGGAGGAUAUUCUGAUAAUUAUAUGUAAUAAAUAAUAUGUAGUACAUAAUAUAAAUAUAAUAAUAGCUACUAUUUUCUAAGGGCUUUCUUUGUGUCAGACAUCAUACAAAUGUUCUCCAUGGUUACUGAUUCAAUCCUUACAAGACCUUUGCAAAGUAGGUAAUAUUUUAUUAUUAGCUAUUAUUAUAAUCAUUAUUGAGUUAAACUUAUAUUCAGUGAGACACACAUACUCUAUCUAUAUAAUUUCAUAAAUUUCUGCAAAUGUAUACAUUUGUGUAUCUGAUAUCUAAUCAAGACAGAGAACAGUCCCAUUACCUAGAAGUAGACACUAUUUAUAGCUCUAAUUUCCUAAUACAUAACAAUGGACUAAGAAAGGUUAAAUAAUUUGCCCAAAGUUACACCAGUAAUAAAUAGCACAGCUAAUUGUCAAACUCACAAUCCUCAUCAUGCUAUAUUAGGAUUCCCAAGGCUUAGCUUCCACAUCUAUUGGCUUUCUUUUGAUUUUUAUAUGUAUAAAAGUAGAGUUUGGAACAGAUUGAAAGGCUAAAUGGAACUAGCUGACAUCUAACAGUGUUUUUCAUAUUUGCUAAUUAUUAGACUAUCUUAGCUUUGUAAGCAUAGAGAUAUCCUCUCCAUGCUUAAAAUUUUAAGCUAGUAGACUGAAGUUUUGACCUAUAAUAUGAAUUAUGUUU
rnacentral:lncRNA from 1 species